rfam:Erinaceus europaeus unplaced genomic scaffold scaffold00012, whole genome shotgun sequence
AAAGUAUUAAAGAAAGAAAAGAAAAAGGAAUGGUUCCUCUGUUUACAACACACUCAACAGAAAUCUGGGUUCAUUGACAAAGGGUACAAAAACCUUGGCCCAACUAUGAACGUAUAACCUACGCAU